GAUUAUUAAGAUUACGGUUCUAAUAACAUGACUUGAAAUUAUUGCAAGGGAGUUUUGUUCUCUCGCUUUACAGCGUAAACACAUGAAUAAUG
rnacentral:sRNA from 12 species